CCGUGCUAGACGGGGAGGUAGCGGUGCCCUGCACCCGCAAUCCGCUCCAGCGGGGUUGAAUCCCGGCCCGAGGCGCCUCCGCUUGGGGGCUGCCCGUCCCACGGAGCGAGGAGGGCUCGGUCCCGCGCGACGGCUCCUUUCGAACCCCGUCAGGCCCGGAAGGGAGCAGCGGUAAGGAAGAAGAGCCGGGUGCCGCGGGGACGCCGGGCCAGAGCCACCGGAGGCGGUACCGCCCGGGCGGUGUCGUCGACGGCCGGUGCACGG
rnacentral:SRP_RNA from 1 species